rnacentral:rRNA from 1 species
AUUGAACGCUGGCGGCAGGCCUAACACAUGCAAGUCGAACGGUAACAGGAAGAAGCUUGCUUCUUUGCUGACGCGUGGCGGACGGGUGAGUCAUGUCUGGGAAACUGCCUGAUGGAGGGGGAUAACUACUGGAAACGGUAGCUAUAACCGCAUAACGUCUCAAGACCAAAAAGGGGGACCUUCGGGCCUCUUGCCAUCGGCUGUGCCCAGAUGGGAUUAGCUAGUAGGUGGGGUAACGGCUCACCUAGGCGACGAUCCCUAGCUGGUCUGAGAGGAUGACCAGCCACACUGGAACUGAGACACGGUCCAGACUCCUACGGGAGGCAGCAGUGGGGAAUAUUGCACAAUGGGCGAAAGCCUGAUGCAGCCAUGCCGCGUGUAUGAAGAAGGCCUUCGGGUUGUAAAGUACUUUCAGCGGGGAGGAAGGGAGUAAAGUUAAUCCAUUUGCUCAUUGACGGUACCCGAAGAAGAAGCACCGGCUAACUACGUG